rnacentral:tRNA from 1 species
UCCCUGAUAGCUCAGUUGGUAAAGAAUCUGCCUGCAAUGCAGAAGACCUGGUUCGAUUCCUGGGUCGGGAA